rnacentral:rRNA from 1 species
UACGAAGGGGGCUAGCGUUGCUCGGAAUCACUGGGCGUAAAGCGCACGUAGGCGGCUUUUUAAGUCAGGGGUGAAAUCCUGGAGCUCAACUCCAGAACUGCCUUUGAUACUGAGAAGCUUGAGUCCGGGAGAGGUGAGUGGAACUGCGAGUGUAGAGGUGAAAUUCGCAGAUAUUCGCAAGAACACCAGUGGCGAAGGCGGCUCACUGGCCCGGUACUGACGCUGAGGUGCGAAAGCGUGGGGAGCAAACAGG